CGCACUAGCCGGGGAGUUAGCGGUGCCCUGUACCUGCAAUCCGCUACAGCAGGGGUGAUGUCCUCGCCGAGGGCGUUUUGUUGCAGAGCUGCCCCUUGUAAGUGGCGUUGAAGUCUGGGUCUUACGCAACAGGAAUCUGUGAACCGUGUCAGGGCAGGAAUGCAGCAGCACUAAGCAGAAGCUCUUGUGUGCCGUGAGGCUGCCUGGACGGAGUUAACUGCGAGGGUAACGUUUGUGACAUACGUUCGAAGCGGGAUGUGC
rnacentral:SRP_RNA from 1 species